rnacentral:rRNA from 1 species
UACAGAGGGUGCGAGCGUUGUUCGGAAUUAUUGGGCGUAAAGGGCGCGUAGGCGGCGCCACAAGUCACCUGUGAAAACUCUGGGCUCAACCCAGAGCCUGCAGUCGAAACUGUGGUGCUGGAGUAUGGGAGAGGUGCGUGGAAUUCCCGGUGUAGCGGUGAAAUGCGUAGAUAUCGGGGGGAACACCUGUGGCGAAAGCGGCUCACUGGACCAUUACUGACGCUGAUGCACGAAAGCGAGGGGAGCAAACAGG